rnacentral:rRNA from 1 species
CAGUAGCCGCGGUAAUACGUAGGGUGCAAGCGUUAAUCGGAAUUACUGGGCGUAAAGCGUGCGCAGGCGGUUUGUUAAGACAGAUGUGAAAUCCCCGGGCUCAACCUGGGAACUGCAUUUGUGACUGGCAAGCUAGAGUGUGGCAGAGGGGGGUGGAAUUCCGCGUGUAGCAGUGAAAUGCGUAGAUAUGCGGAGGGACACCGAUGGCGAAGGCAGCCCCCUGGGCCAACACUGACGCUCAUGCACGAAAGCGUGGGGAGCAAACAGGAUUAGAUACCCCCGUAGUCCCUGUCUCUUAUAC